GAGUUUGAUCAUGGCUCAGAGUGAACGCUGGCGGCGUGCCUAAUACAUGCAAGUCGAACGGAGAUUAAAGUAAGCUUGCUUAUUUUAAUCUUAGUGGCGCACGGGUGAGUAAUGUAUAGCUAAUCUGCCCUACACUAGAGGACAACAGUUGGAAACGACUGCUAAUACUCUAUACUCCUUCUUUACAUAAGUUAAGUCGGGAAAGUUUUUCGGUGUAGGAUGAGGCUAUAUCGUAUCAGCUAGUUGGUGAGGUAAUGGCUCACCAAGGCUAUGACGCGUAACUGGUCUGAGAGGAUGAUCAGUCACACUGGAACUGAGACACGGUCCAGACUCCUACGGGAGGCAGCAGUAGGGAAUAUUGCUCAAUGGGGGAAACCCUGAAGCAGCAACGCCGCGUGGAGGAUGACACUUUUCGGAGCGUAAACUCCUUUUCUUGGGAAAGA
rnacentral:rRNA from 1 species